GGAGGAAUAUAAGCAUAAGAUUGUAAUUCCACUUAAAUCUAAAUUUCUUAAAAGGGGGGAAUUACAAUCUUAUGCUUAUAUUCCUCCACA